rnacentral:lncRNA from 1 species
GGCCCAACCGUCAAAACCGCCUCAGUAAUGCGCUCGUCCAAAGCACGCACUUAACGCUCAAUCGUGGUGUCGCGUCCCGUUGCCAGGCAACGAAGGCAAGCGCUGCAAAGACGAAGGGGAGCGCCCAAGGAUGAGGAACAUUCCAAGACACUGAGUGAUUUGCUGAAAAUCACACAUCUAGAUGCAAAGCCAGAAUGCGAGCAGUGACCACCACACUUGACAAAUCUGUUGUUGCACACAUUUGUACUCUUCAAUCAACAAAACCUGAUGCAAAAAACAGAAAAGGGGGAGAUGUACAUGCAUUUUCCCUCACUGCAAAAAAAAACACAAUUUGUUUAACUACAGCUGUAGAAAACAGAAGCCAAUCGAAAGAGCUCCCAGUCCAAAGCUGGAACAACUUGAACAACAAAAUAAAUAAUGUAGCAUUGGAUUACAAACCAACCAUGAAACAAAUAUCCAUGAGUCUAUACUGAUGUCAAUAAAUGAAUAAAUGAAUAAAUGUGGGAAAAUAGACAAAUCUCCUUUCUCAUACAGAAGGAUUCCAAAUAAU